rnacentral:rRNA from 1 species
CCCUUCGGGGGGGGGCACAGUAGGGAAUCUUCCACAAUGGACGCAAGUCUGAUGGAGCAACGCCGCGUGAGUGAAGAAGGUCUUCGGAUCGUAAAGCUCUGUUGUUGGUGAAGAAGGAUAGAGGCAGUAACUGGUCUUUAUUUGACGGUAAUCAACCAGAAAGUCACGGCUAACUACGUGCCAGCAGCCGCGGUAAUACGUAGGUGGCAAGCGUUGUCCGGAUUUAUUGGGCGUAAAGCGAGCGCAGGCGGAAUGAUAAGUCUGAUGUGAAAGCCCACGGCUCAACCGUGGAACUGCAUCGGAAACUGUCAUUCUUGAGUGCAGAAGAGGAGAGUGGAACUCCAUGUGUAGCGGUGGAAUGCGUAGAUAUAUGGAAGAACACCAGUGGCGAAGGCGGCUCUCUGGUCUGCAACUGACGCUGAGGCUCGAAAGCAUGGGUAGCGAACAGGAUUAGAUACCCUGGUAGUCCAUGCCGUAAACGAUGAGCGCUAGGUGUUGGGGACUUUCCGGUCCUCAGUGCCGCAGCAAACGCAUUAAGCGCUCCGCCUGGGAGACAACCGA